rnacentral:rRNA from 1 species
UACGUAGGGUGCAAGCGUUGUCCGGAAUUAUUGGGCGUAAAGAGCUCGUAGGCGGUCUGUUGCGUCGGCUGUGAAAACCCGAGGCUCAACCUCGGGCCUGCAGCCGAUACGGGCAGACUAGAGUUCGGCAGGGGAGACUGGAAUUCCUGGUGUAGCGGUGAAAUGCGCAGAUAUCAGGAGGAACACCGGUGGCGAAGGCGGGUCUCUGGGCCGAUACUGACGCUGAGGAGCGAAAAGCGUGGGGAGCGAACAGG